rnacentral:rRNA from 1 species
AUGGCGGAGAUUGUGAUUCUUCUGACCAUUAAGAAGAUUGGAAUAGCCUUGGCGACUAGAGUGGUAGACCAGGCAAACACACAGUUUGCGAAGUACAGGACACAACUGCUAGAGCUACAGGGCAACAUGAGUCGUGUUGCCAGUGAGCUUCGCAUAAUGCAUGAUGUUCUCUGUCAAAUGGACAUACAAAACCGCAACAAUCAAGUGUAUGAGGGCUGGUUGGAGGAGGCGAGGAAAGUAGCACAUGUGAUGGAGGAUGUAGUGGAUGAGUACUUGUGUCUAGUUGGUCGGGAACAUGAUAUAGGAUGUUGCUUUUACCUGAAGAAAGGGUGCAAAAAGCCAAGAUUUAUGCUUUCUUUGAACCGGAUAGCUUUCAAGGUGAAGGAAAUAGAGAAAGACCUUUCACACUUGUCCGAGGCAAAAAACCGUUGGGUUCCAAUGACAAUCAAUGGGGAUACUAGUAACUCGAAUUAUAUUGUCAAGAGGUCCAAAGAUCUAGCAAACUUCUCACGUUCCCUUGAUGAAGAUCUAGUGGGAGUGGAUAAAAACAGAGAAAGACUUGAACAGUGGUUGACAGGUGAUAAUUUGAAAUGCUCGGUGAUUGCGCUGCUUGGAAUGGGAGGACUCGGUAAAACAGCUUUAGCUGCAACUGUCUACAAGAAGGAGAGAGAGAGAUUCCAGUGCCAUGCUUGGGUCUCCAUCUCUCAAACGUAUUCUAGAGAGGAUGUCUUAAGGAAUAUAAGUAAGGAACUUUCCAAAGAUAAUAAAGCCAACAUUCUAUCAAACACUGCAGAUAUGGACAUCACAUGCCUUGAAGAGACAUUGAAGAAGUUUCUAGAACAACACAAGUAUUUAAUCAUAUUGGAUGAUAUUUGGACUCCAGAAGCAUUUGAUGAAAUGUCUAGGGUGCUUAUUCAUAAUGAUAAGGGAAGUAGAGUAAUAAUCACAACAAGAGAAGGCGAUGUUGCUGCACUGGCCUCUCGAGGGCACAUCUUAACGUUGGAAGCUUUACCAGAAGACAAGGCAUGGGAUCUCUUUUGUAAGAAAGCUUUUCCAAGAGAUACAAAUCAUGAAUGUCCCAUGGAGUUGAAGUCUUGGUCUGAGGAAAUAGUUAGCAAGUGCAAAGGCUUGCCUCUUGUUAUUGUGUUAGUUGGUAGCCUUUUGCGUGUGCGUGAGAAAACUGUGGAAGAAUGGAGAAUAAUAAAUGGUCAGUUGAGUUGGGAGCUAAAUAAUAAUUCGAGGCUCGAUCAGAUAAGGAAUGUUUUACAUCUGAGCUUCAUCUACCUUCCAACACACUUGAAAAGUUGUUUCUUGUACUGCAGCUUAUUUCCAGAAGACCAUCUUCUCAAAAGGAAGGAACUUGUAAGGUUAUGGAUAGCUGAGGGGUUCAUUGAGGGAAGGGGUGAAAGCACAUUAGAAGAAGUGGCAGAAGGCCAUUUGAAGGAGUUGAUUGAUAGGAACAUGUUACAACUUGUUGAGAGGAACUCAUUUGGUAGGAUGAAAGAAUUCAGAAUGCACGAUAUCUUACGUGAAUUGGCAGUUGACUUGUGCAAGAAGAACCGUUUUGGUGCUACAUAUGAGGAUAAUUGUGGGGGUUCUCUUGAGACGGAUGGACGUCGAUUGGUUAUGCACAAACUAAAUAAGGAUGUUCAGCAAUCCUUUCCUAGUAUACACCAACUUCGAACUUUCAUUACACUGGACAGUAGCAUGCUACCAUCCACUCUACUACCUCUGCUAUGUAAGGAGUCAAGAUACAUGACAGUACUAGAAUUAAGUGGUCUACACAUUGUGAAGAUUCCAGAUGCUAUUGGAGAUCUUUUUAAUCUCCGCCAUUUGGGUUUGCGUAAUACAAAAGUGAAGAUGCUCCCGAAGUCUGUUGAGAAGCUUUCAAAUUUGUUGACAUUGGACCUUUCUCGAUCUGAUAUACAAGAGUUGCCUAGUGGGAUUGUGAAACUGAAGAAGCUUAGGCACUUAUUAGCUGAGAAAACAAUUGACCCAUAUUGGAGAGGGUUGCAAUGUUGCCGUGGUGUGCGUGUUCCUAAUGGUCUUGGAAAUCUAAUAAACUUGCAGACGCUACAAGCAUUGGAAUUACAGGAUGAGUCUCUUAGACAUUUAGGGGUGCUGAGGCAACUAAGAAGCUUGAGGUUAUGGAAUGUGAAGGGAAUCUGCAGUGGACGCAUCAGUGAGUCUUUGUUUCAGAUGCAAUCUUUGUCCGACUUAUCCGUGAGUGCAAGCGAUGAAAACGAGGUUCUAUUGUUGAAUGUCCUCCUGCCAAACCUGCAAAAGCUAUGUUUGAGAGGACGACUAGCGGAAGGGGUGUUGGAGGAGUCCCCUCUCUUCCAAGCUGCUGGGGGGCAGAACUUGCAUGAAUUGGUUCUGUCUUGGUCACAGUUGAGAGAAGACCCCCUGCCAUCUCUUUCUCGCCUUUCAAACUUGACAUUUCUAGAUUUCACCAGAGCAUAUACCGGAGAGCAUCUGGCAUUUUUCACGGGGUGGUUUCCGAAGCUGAAGAUUCUCUAUCUAAUAGACCUGCCUAAUCUGAAUCAGCUACAAAUACAACAAGGUGCCAUGGAAAGCCUUGAAAGAUUAUACUUAAUCAACCUCAGCAGCUUGACGGAGGUCCCACCUGGCAUUGAGUUCCUCGUGCCCCUACAGCGUCUAGUUUUUUAUGAAAUCAGCAGUGAAUUCUUGAUGUUGCUGCGCCAAUUCUCUGCAAUUGAAGGGACACAAUGGCAGCAUACUCUCCGUCGUUGA